CUUACCACCUCCCAGCUGUGUCAGACUAGGUAGGGCUUGUGUGAUCAUUUGGAUCAGGAGUUGAUCUGGCUAAAACCUAAUUCUGCAAAUGAGUAAGUGAGAAAGAUUUAUAUUUAACUCAGUUCACUUAUCUAAUCAAGUUCUCUGCAAAGCCCUACAAACUGUUGUACUGGCAAAAUGAGGGAAUGAUGGAGGAAUGGAAAUGAGUAACCUGAGUUAUAGCUACUCAGAUCACUCAAAUGGGAUCAUUUCUGUUUGCUGUUUGAAUGGGCAUGUGAACACCGCUGGCAAGAACUCUUGCAUGUGCAGAUGCAAAAUAUAUUCCUGUGCUCUAAGGGCAGAUAAGAUGACCUAGGGAACUAGCGACCUGUCAGCCUCAUCUCUGUGCCGGACAAGAUCAUGGAAAAGAUCUCCCCAGGAGCUAGGCUAAGGCACAUGGAAGAGAGAGAGGUGAUGCAAGACAACCAGCAUGGUUUCACCAUGAACAACCUAGUGGCCUUCUAUGAUGGUGUAAAUGCAUCAGUGGACAAGAGAAAAUAACUUGAUGUCAUCUAUCCAGAAUUCAGUUAAGUCUUUGAUACAGUCCCCCAAAAUUCCCUUCUCUCCAAAUUGUAGAGAUGUGGACUUGAUAGAUAGCCUGUUCAAUGGAUGAGGAACUGGUUGCAAGACUGCACCCAGAGAGUGGUUGUCAAUAGCUCAGUGUUCAGAUGGAGAUAAGUGAUGAGUGGCGUCUCUCAGGAGUCAGUACUGGGACCAAUGCUGUUUAACGUUGUAUGGCAAACAGGUAGUAGACCACAGAGAUUAUUGCAUCACAAAGUAAAAAUGAAAUAAAGAUCUUACCCAUUUCCUGGGCUCACAGAAGAGCUCCAAGAGGAGCAAUCUCCAGAUAGAGAUCCUUCCUCCUUGGGAGUCAGCCCUUAAAUGGGGUCUAGGAGAGGUGGAGCAGGCUCCACCCCUUCCAGUCACUCAGGUGAAAUUGCGUUCACCUGUGCCCCUGCAGAUGACUCAGCGCUUGUCUCAGGUGGUCAAUCAGAGGUUCAGGCUAGGAUUCAACAGUUCCCAUACAAAUAUCUUCAUCAGUGAUGUCAACAGUGGGAUUGAGUGCACCCUCAGCAAGUCUGUAGAUGACACAAAGCUGUAUGGUACAACUUAUAUGUCCAAGGAAUAAGAUGCCAUCCAAAGAGAUCUAGAUAGGAUAAAGCAGUGGGCCCAGGAGAACCUCAUGAGGUUCAAUAAAUUCAAGUGCAAGGUCUUGUCCUGCAUCACAGCAACCAUUUGUAUAAUAAUCACAUGGGGAAUGAAAGGAUACAGCACAGCCUUGCCAUAAAGGACUUGGAGGUACUGGUGAAUAUGAACCAGCAAUGCACCUUCACAGCCCAGAAAGCCAACUGUAUUCAACAUCCCCUUCAUUGCAAGGGAUGGGACUAGAUGACCUUUAAAGGUCCCUUCUAACUCAAAUGAUUCUAUAAUAUCCCAAGUUGGAAGAGACCCACAAGAAUCAGUGUGUUCAGCUCUUGAGUCUACCCAAGACUACUCAAAAAUUCUGAAAGUGUUGUCCAAAUGCUUUUUGAACCCUGUCAAGUUUGGUGCUGUGACCAUUGCUCUGAGGAGCCUGUUUCAGGGCCCAACCACCCACUCUGUAAAGAAACCCUGACAUAGCUCUAUCCCAUUCCCUCAGGUCCUGUCUCUGCCACCAGGAAGCAGAGAUCAGUGUUGCCCCUCCACUCUCCUCGUGAGGCAACUGUAGUCUUUUAUGAGGUCUCCUCUCAGUAUUCUGUUCCAAUAUUUUGGAAAUAUAUGUGUUGUUUUUUUUUUCUUCCUGUAAUGCUAAAUUACCACAACAUUUUACAUUGUUGAUGUAAUUCUGGCAUAUAAGAGAGAAACUGAUUUUUUUCUUUUAAAAAUACUUUUAAAACAAACUGAAUCUAAGUUGAAAAAAAAAUAUUAUACGAUUGCAUCAAUUCAAAGCUCCUUCUUACUUGCAGGAUCUUCAUUUAUUUAAUGCAACUUUAGAUGUAUAAUGCUGAUUAAUGUAGUUGUUCUUUACUGACUAAAUGAUCUCCACUGAACUGCAAAGUUCAUAAAGGAAGAUGAUUAAUUCAUAACUGUAUUGUUUAUGCUGUCUUUUCUAAAGAAAGCAUUCCAAUUAUCAUUUAAAUAAUAGUACUUGGUUCUAAAAUUGACCAAAUAUGCAAAUAUUCUACUUCUGUUCUGAACUGAGCCAUUAUGUUCCAAAGAAGAUCAAAAAACGAUGGGCCAGUCAUGUGCCGAUUUAUAGUUGUGUGAUGGCAAGGUAGUCUUGCAUAAGGAAAAUAACUUUGAAUUUACACCAGAUAAUCAGAUGCGAGCCAUUGUAAUGAAUAUCUCUGGGAAACUUUGACAUGUUAUCUUUGAAAAUAUGAUAUUCACUUACUGCUAGGAAGGAAUGACUUAAAUCACAAACUUGGGGCAUUAGUUUCCUUAGGCUGUUUCACUUUCAGGACAUAAAUCUAGAUUUGAAAGGACUGCCAGCUAUCUCAAUUUCCAUUAACAACUGGGGAGCUUCAGCAAUCUAGAUAUUCAUGCAGUACACUGCAGAUAAACCACUAAGUACAGAAAAUGUUCGUUCAUGCAGCACACAUAAAACUAAAACUCCACUCCUUAUGAGAAAAAUCAAAACACCCCAAAUUAAAGCAACAGCAACCCCACUCCCUUUUCCCCAGGCAAAGCUGCAAAGUCAGCAGUUCAACACUUUGUUUCCCUUCAGCUGUAUGGUCACAAAUUAAUGGGGUGGAGGCAUGAUAACUAUGAAGGAAUUUGGGAUGUUUUCAUUAUUGCUGGGCAAAUCACUCUUGAAAAGUAAGCAUCUCUUUUAUGCAUAGAUCAAGUGAACUUGGCAGCAGCAAUGUCAUUGAUGCUAACUGUGUGUGACAGGAAACAAAGCCAUGUGACUGCUGUGUUUUAUGAGGGCAAGGACUACAUUGGGAGUGAAAUUCUGCUACAGAAAUGGGUAAUGUAAAGGUUUUUCAGUGCUGGAGUGAGAAUGAGUAGAAAGGAACAGAGUGCGAAGAGAAGAAUAAGAUAAAAAUGGAAAGCAGAAAUCCUGAGCUGGCCCCACUGAACAACGUGUUCAAACAGCUCUCACACCAACCUCAACUGAGAGAGUGGAUUUUAAAUAAAUAAAUAAAUAAAUAAAACAUUCUUUUUUAUGCUUUACUAUUUGCCACACUUGAGCGCACCUCUAAAAAAAGAUAAGUAAAAUAUUAAAAAGAUGUUUUAAAAGAAUAUAUAAAACCAGUGGAAGAAAGACAGGUAACCUUUGAUAAAAGGAACUUGUGAGAAGACACAUGGGAAUGUAAGAAAAAGUUGAACACAGAUGCUACAGUGGUAAAAAGAUGGAGUAGGAAGCUCAGUAAGCAACUGGGAGAGAACAGAGCCACAAAAUACACCAGCAAGAAUUAGCUUACUGGUUCUGAUGCCAAGGUGAAGAGGACAAAACCAAAAGAAAGACGUCUAAACAAUGUAAGAAGACAGUUUUUAUGUAAUAGAUAUUUGGCUGUAUAUUCUUCGAUCAAACAUGUUUGAUUAAAGUUAAUUUUACUAGAGGCUACCUGUUUUGAAUUCUGUUUUCCACAGAAGGUAUUUUUUCUCAGAAAAUGACCUAUUUUGGAAACCAACCCUCAGAACACAGGAGUCUGCCUUUGUGGAAGUGUUCGUUGUCUUGUGGAGAAGAGGGAAAGUUGAGUGAGAAGCAACACACCUCUGUCUCCCCAGGCUAUUCUUGGCUCAUUCACUUCCCUGAGCAUUAAAUUCAUUCACAAAUUGGGAACUUAUCCCGCUGUUACUUUCUAGCACAUUUGAUAAAGUGAUGAAUCCUGAAUUAGUAUUGCAGUGUUGCUAAGUUUUGAUAAAUGUGCUUAUAAAUUCAUUGCUGCAGAAGAAAAGUCUCUUCUUUAAUCAGAAAUCCUGCUGCUGUCAAUGACAGAAAUAUAGCUUGAAACGAAACAUUCUGAAGAAAGCACCUUGUUAAGAUGUAAUUUUCUUCGUACAUGGCUUUAACAACAACCCAGCCCUAUUUGCAGAGCUAUGGCAUUAGCCUUUACACACCAAAAAUGCUUAGGCUUUUAGUAAACCUAGCAAAUAUUUUGCGGUGCGGCUGACACAUUAACAUGUGUAUUAGUGAGCAGUUGUCCAUAAGGAAUUUGUCAGACUGUCAACAAAGACUAAGACAGCCAGUCCAGUCCCUGCUAAGUGUAAAAACACCUGGAGAUCACAGCAAUCACUCAGAAGGGAAUUAAAGUAAUAGAUUAAUUGACCGUAAGAAUCAUUUUCCUUGUUCAUGAAUCUGGAUUUCCCUUGGCUGCCAGAAUUGUAGAUGAAAGAGAAAAACAUCCUUGACCUUUUCCGUCAAAGAAAAUGCUUCUCUCUUUGUCUAACACACAAAAAUGUGGACUAUUUGAGUGAUUUAAAAGGUCUGAGAAUUGCAAACAAACAAACAAACAAAAAAGAGUGUCAAUAAAAUAGUAUUCAGCUUCUCAUUUAUUCUGCUGUGUCUUGACCCAUUAAGAGGUGUUAGUGAACAUUUCAAAAGUUGUCAGCUUGUACCCUUCUAGUCUACCACACUUCCUGACUUUAAAGCCUGUGAUGCAGCUCUAACAGUUAGUCUGUGAACGCAGUAUUAACACAUGAAAUAAGGCUGCAUGGAUCUUAAAAAACAGUACUGUCUGGAGAAAGGUG
ensembl:lncRNA